AGACUAAUGUGAAAGAAAAUCUCCUAAUUUUCAGUAUUAAUGAGAUUUAGAAAAGCACUCUUUAGUCUGAAUGCUAACUGGAUCUAAAGCUAUAGCUGUUUUUCAUGCUUGCUGGAGAAGUCUGAAAGUUCAAUUUCAGUUUCAAAAAUGGUUAAGACUUAGGUGGAAAAGAAAUGUCUGCUAUAGACAUAUUAACCAUCUGUGUAUGAGCAUAGUCAACCUGAAUCACAAACAUCAAAAGUUUACUGCACAGAGUUUCUCUUAAACUUUGUCUGUUAAACUUGGGGAUGAUGCUCUUAUCGGUUUGACUAAUUAUCUGCUGUUGAGUCUGAAAUUUGUCAAUCUGAGUCUUAGUGAAAGAAAUUUCAGCUUUUAAUCUGUUCAUGGGAUAUUUGACAGCUGACAAGCUGACUAUAUUGACAGAGGAGAGACAAAUGCUAACAAAGAAGGCAGCAACUGGUAUUGCAGUCAUCAAUGUAUCACCACAGCAUUUGGAUAUCUUAUUGGAGUCAUUUAGCUUUGGCUAGGUGACUUCUGCUUUCGCAGGACUCACACCUUCAUGACUCCACAGUGUUAAUCUCAGUAGUUAGCUGAGUAGUCAUGUUUAUUCACCUUCAAAGUGGAUGAAACCGAUUGAGGUGGAUAAUAAGAUCGUCGUUUUUGAGAGUGUGAUUUACUCUGAUUCUGCCAGUCAUUCACCCCGCUUUGGCGGUGUUGAUGGUUUUUCCUUUGUCUGGGAUAAAACCCACCGUGACGGGAGUCUGAAUAACAACAGUUGGUCUCAAAGUUUACCUGGCAUUGGUCUGGGUCAGACCUGGGCCUUGGUGUGUAACUUUGACCUUUGUGAGUUUGUUGAGGUCGAAAAGGUUUUGGAGGCCUGGUUAACCACUCAUUUGGAGGCUUAUCGGAGCCUGAAAAAACACAGUCUGAAGCUUCGUUCAGCUCCACGGGCAGUGAUUUUGUCUCCAUAGCCAAGAGAGUAACGGGCUCUGCUUUCUUAGCCAAAGUUUGUCGUUGUUUGGCAAAACCUUUUACAGCAAGUUCACGAAGCUGUCGGCUAGUCGAAGUGUUUGGACAAGCUAAGACGCCAAGGUGAUGACUGGUGGUAGGGUGGAGGUUCUGGACGAACAGCGUUUUGAAGUUCAAGUCCUCCUCCAUUUCUGGUUCAUUUCGGAAACCAAAGUAAGCUUCGCGUAAGCGGUUGUAAUACUGUUGGGGAGGUUCUGAUCUCCCUUGUUUAAUAGACAGAGCAGCAGAGAGGCCUGUCUGGGUCAAAUAGUCAGAAAACUCUUCAAUUAAUGCUUGGCAGAGCAAGUCAUAAUUAUUUCUGACAUGAUAAGGCUGUCGUUCAAGGAAACUGCUAACCUCUCGACUUGACGUUGCCUUAAUAAGGUAGAUUUUGUCAUCAAUGGUUGCACCUGGAAAUUUCCUCAGGUAAAAGUCAAUGUCUUUCAAGUAGGUGCAGGGGUCAAUAGCAGCUUGGUGCUCAGGUUCAAAGCGUGCUAUGUUGCGAGCAAUUUUGUCAAGAUCCCUGUCUGAGGGAAAUGGUAAGAAGCCAUCAUGAGGAGGAGAGUAGGACUCUUGGUUUAAGGAUGACCUCUCAGGGUCAAGCAGGGUCCUGUCAUGAUGCUGAGAGAGAUACUUAAGAGUUGGUUUGGAAGGAAGUGAUGGCGCUCUCUCAGGAGGCUGAUCACCUAUCAUUUCUUCAAGAAACGUUUGCUCCAUGCGUUCUCUUUGGGCUCCACCUGACUGGAGGGAGCAUCGUAACUCUCUUUGGGCAUCUUCAAGUUCUUUGUCUGUCUUUUCUUGCCGUUCUUGACAAAGAAUUAACUGUCUUUGAGCAAUCUGGAGCUGGUGCUGUAAGGUAGAAGUUUGCUUCUCCUUAACUUCAAGAGCUUCAGCACGCACUUUGACCAGUGCUUUCAAAGUUUUUGCAUCUUCUGUUGCUUGCUCUAGUAGGGAUUCUGACUGAAUCAGAUCCUCUGUGGUCUUAGCAAGCUGCUUAUUCGUGUCAUCAAGUUCUUUCUCCUUUUUGUAAAGGGUUUCAUUAAGUCUUUCAAUCUUGUCUUUGAGAUCAAGAUUUUCUUCAUGACUUAUCAGUGAGGGAAGCUUUGACGCUUCACAUCUGGCACUGUGUUUUUCUAAAACACUUAGAGACUUCUUAGUCUCCUCUAGCGUCUUUUUCAGUGCGCUGUUUUCAUCUUUUUGCGUCUUUAUCUUUGCUAAAGCGCAUUCCAGCAAGUAGUCUUUAUACUCAAGCUGAGAAGACAUCAUGACAGACAUGCAUCUAGUGAGCUCUUUGUCACGAAGUAUCGUGGUUAAGGCUGUUUCCAGUAAGUCAGCCAUUGCAUCCUCCGGAUUGGAGGGUUUGGCCUUUUGAAUCUUAGUCAUAUACUGAGGUAUCAGCUGACUAGUCAAGUUUGCCAACACUGUGUGUAUGUCCCUCAGGGGGUCUCCCUGGCUGGACUCUUUUGUGUUAGGCAUGUUUGGUUUUGGUAAAGAGGUGCAGGUGGUUGGUUGAUGAGUUUGAGUUGACUUAAAAUGAAAGGAAGAAGCAAAAUAUCAAAUUAAGUGGGUUAAUCGACUUAAUUUAUCAGUGCUUGAUAAAGAGGAAGAGCCUAUCUGAGUAGAUCUCUAAUGGAGAGAAAAAUAACAUAAAGUUAAAUUCAUUUCAAUGAAAAUUGAAAGAAAACAAGGUGAAAUAAUGUUAAAUUAAAUUUAACAUCAGAUACAGAACCAUUUAAUAAAGGGUUCAGUUUGUCUCCGUGUUGCAGAGAUCAGCAAAGCUUAAAUAAACUGCCUGGUGCAGUUGGAUGAAUUGGGAAAAAUCGAUGAAAUUGUCAAUUUAAGGAAUUAACUCUGCAGUUAAUUCACCAAUCGCAAUAAAGCUAAAGAUUCAACUACCCAAUUCAUCUGAAAUGGUAAAAUAAAUUUCAAAUAUUAAUUAAUUUGUUCAUUAAUUGAUUAAUCUUAUAAGGAGGGUUAAUACAUUUAUGUAUUAUAGGGAACAGUAAAACUGCUCAAUGAUGUGAUAAGUAACAACAAGAUCAGGUGAUUGGUUCAAGGAGUUACUUCAUCAAUACCUUAUGGAGGCUCUUAUAACAAAGAUAAAAAUCAAAAAUCAAUGAUCAAUGAUUUAGAAUAAGCACAUCAAACUUCAUCAACCAAGUCAAUCACUUGAGUUAUGUCUGUAGAGUGUUACACACUGACUACAGAGAGGCAGUACAGCUGGCUGAUACUGCAGGCAGAUAACAUUGUUAGCUCAAUACCAAAAGCAACCAUGUGGGGCAGUAUGGAGUUGGGGUAACUGCACAAGCUCAACACAAGUGGAGAAGAAGAAAAGAGGAAACAGUCAUCCAACUAGCCUCUUGUGGCUAUGAGGAGUUGGGAAGUAUGCAGGAAGGGGCCUUUAGGCUCUGCCUCCUGAAGGGCCUUAUCUGCUUAAGGCCAAAUGGUCAGUCUCUCCACUGACAACAAAGGGUUAACAUUUCACAGCAGGCUGCGUCUGCACCCUCAAACAUAGAACUUUCCACCAUCUGCUCAGGCAGAUUGGUUCAAUAGAAUCAUUUACAGGAACAAGAAUCAAAGUGACAAAUCCUUAAACAGCAGAUUCAACUGCAGACUUUAAAAUCACAAAUGCGGCGAUUCGUGAUCACGGAUUUUGUCUGAAUUCAUUCAAACAACAACCUCCCACUGUUACAGUGGUUUCCUGUGACAGAUAGCUUAAUCUGUCAGGGGAAAGGAGGAAAUCUAAAUCCCAUAUAGUUACUAGAACUUCAUAGCAGACUAUAGAGACAAGAAUCAAAGUGACAAAUCCCUCAACAGCAGAUUCAACUGCAAACUUAAAAUUCACAAAUGCGGCGAUUUGUGAACACAAAUUUUGUCUGAAUUCACUCAAACAACAACCUCCCACUGUUACAGUGGUUUCCUGUGACAAGUAGCUAAUCUGUCAGGGGAAAGGAGGAGAUCUGAAUCCCAUAUAGUUACUAGAACCUCGUAGCAGACUACAGAGACUUCAGGGGCUUGAAACCACAGCUCGGAGCAUCGCGAACACUGGGUUCAGCCAAAGGCCUUAAAUACAAGCGUACGGCGACGCAACAAUCGUGCACUUAAAUAUUGGACAGUCUAGACAGAGCAGAAGAAGCAGUCUCACUGCUACUCAGAACAACAUUUCACGCUGUCCAGCUCAAACACAGACUACAGGCAUGUAGUACAAGAGUGUGUGAAACACAGAGCAUAAAGGUUUUAUGCAUAGAUCAGGAAAACAUCAGAACUUAGUCAAGCAACUUCAGCAAGCAUAGCAUUGAUUGUGAUUAAGUCUAAAAUAGCCUGGAAAUAAGUUUCUCUCAUCAAUUUGGAAGGCUAAGUUUUAGGUUGUCUGUUAGUAUCCAGAAGUUUUGUUUGAAACGCCUCACGCAGGGGCACCAAAAUAUAUGUAGUGAUUUGAAAUGAGCCUCAUACGGUCGCACCAAAAUAUAUGUAGCGAUUUGAAAUGAGCCUCACAAGGCCACACCAAAAUAAUACUUGGCGGUUGGAAUUUAUAAUAAAUGUCUGAAGAUUAAUAAUCUCAAAUUAUGACAUUUAUGCACUCGUUGAAAGGGGCACCACCCACCCUUAAUGGUGGGAAAAUAAAGAAAACAAAAGUUUAAUUCAGAAAUCAAACAUCAAGUCAGUUUUAAUUAAUCAGUCUUAAUUAAUCAGUCUUAAUUAAUCAGUCUCAUAUCUUAAGUCGAAAUUCUAAUUUCAGGGACUCCACUUCUGGAAGAACACUAACAGACAGGAACUUAGAAAAAUAAUGAUCUGUUUAUUACAGGAUAAAUGAUGGUACAACACACAUGCAAUAAAUGAUGAUAAGAUAAUGAAGAUAAAAUAAUAAUAGGUGAAUAAAUAAAGAUUCUGAGUCAGGCUAGGAGCACUAAAGUUAAUGAUAGUGAGUGAAUAUGCGCUAACAUAUUAACCUACACUAACUUUGGUGUCGAGAUAAACUCGGAUGUGGAUUUGGAGGAAUCUAAGAUCACCAGAAAUAGGUGGAUAUCUGAGUUAUGAACGCAUGAGACAGCACCAGCCCUGUCUGGAGCUCUGGAGGUUUGCAUACUUAAGUGAGACUGGUCCUUGGAGAAGAUGGAGCAGGUUCCGAAGGUCCGGGGCUACUGGCGGUUCGAGCGGUUCAGCUCAGAAGACGACUGAAGUCAGCCGAAGGAUGAGCCAGGAGUUGCAGCACUCAGGCCCGAAGCAAAAACCAGCGCCUGUGGAUCCUGUGGAUGCUCGUUUGGGUACUUCUUUAGUCUCACUCAAAAACUCUGGCACAGAGGAUGACCUGGGCCUGUUGGAUUGCGUUCGGAGGUGACUUUGAAAUCACGCAGAAAACUCAGAAAAACGAGGCUCGAAGAGCAGAGAAAACUUUCAAAAAUGGCUUCGCGAAUUUAAAGAAAAAUCAAUCAAAGGCUUAAUCUUGAAUUGCUAUGCGCACAAAAAGUUGAAGUUUCAAAACUUGAACUAAGACGAUGUUAAAGAAAAUCAACGUGAAUCAACACGUGGCGUAAAACUUAGAAGACUAAGAAAAAGUUCUAAGAGAAAACAAAGAAACGCACCACAGAAGGGUGUGGGCAGAAGAGAAGGGGCAUAAGAGCCGGGGACAAGAGAGUCAGCAGAAGAGCAGAAGCAUAAGAGAGCUAAGAGAGCGUAAAGAGAGAGAAGAAGAAGAGAGUGAGCAACCCGACUUCACUGGUUUUAUCUUCUCACACUGGGGGUGGCUCCGGCGUGUGUGUGAGGAGACAGAGGAGGGGUCGUGUGGUCUUUGAUUAUUUGAUCUAACUUAUUCUUUUGGCUGGCAAAAGAGUCAGAUCUGAUACUCACUCACUAUGAUUAAUAUCAUUGAAUGUUUGGUUUCAUGAUAAAUAAUUUGAUACUAAACACAUAUGAAUGAAGUGUAGGAUCACAUCAAACAUUCUCAUUAUGUUUUAAGUAUCACAUUGAACAUGCUAAAUUACUCUGAAAUGAAACAGAUAGUAACACAUGGAAACUGUGAACAACAAAAGAGUAAAUACAUGUGAAUGAACGUCAUCAUGAUUAAUAAUGGAUUCUAAAUACUCACAUUAAGGUUAUUCAAUGACAUUAUAACCACCUAAUGGUUAAAAAUACUAAAUAAACGAUUAAAAUAUAGAACAAACAUUUCUAAACCAUUUCUGUUAAUUAGAGCUAAGUUAUGAGUCACAAUCAAUAAAUUUAACUCUUAAAAGUUCAUGAAACAGUCUGAAAAGCUGUUGGUCUAAAGAUAUCCAGAGUGAUAAUUUGGCUUCUGAAGCACAUAGAAAAACGGGAAACAUCUCAUUUUAACACAAAUUUCAUGAUUAGACAGAUUAGUACAUUGCUGAAUGCAUAAGAUGUCAGGAUCAGUCAUUUGUAUUCUUUCACCAAAGGAAUGUAGUCUUUAUCAGUGCAUGGUCGAGCAGGGUUUUACGACCGAGGUCUGGAGGUCAGUGUCCCCCCUUUUCCUAGGGUCCGUAUGUUCACACACUUUAAGACACUAAAUCUCAAAUGGGAGAUCUGGGUUGAGACGUUAAUGUUUAUUUAGAUGGUCAGCAAAUGGAGUCAGUUUGAAAGGUAAUAAAACUCUGUCUCUGUUCUCCGAAUUGACCAAUCGUGAAGAGUCAGAGGUUUAGUCAACCUCCGGUUGGGUCACUUAUUUAACCUGAAAGUGCAAACACGUCUGGAAAGAUUUAUAUCCUGUUUCCUGGGACCAGAUAAGGAAGCUUUCCUGUGAGGAAUGUGUGGGUUUCACACCCAGGGUUGUCUUGAUUGCUACAGUCCCCCCUUCGUCACGGUGGUCCUGUCCAUGGAGCAUCGGGACGACGAGUAGACAACCAUGAAGCAGCAGCAGCAGCAGCAGGUGUAUGCAAAUAGGACUGAUGCGUCUCAUUAUCACUAUGUGAAUCACUAGUACUGCUUUGAGAUAAAAUAAGCAUGCAUUAAGCUAUCAAAUAAAAUCGUCUAGGUGUUAGACUUUUCUCAGUUAACUAUUGGUAGACUAAUGUGAAAGAAAAUCUCCUAAUUUUCAGUAUUAAUGAGAUUUAGAAAAGCACUCUUUAGUCUGAAUGCUAACUGGAUCUAAAGCUAUAGCUGUUUUUCAUGCUUGCUGGAGAAGUCUGAAAGUUCAAUUUCAGUUUCAAAAAUGGUUAAGACUUAGGUGGAAAAGAAAUGUCUGCUAUAGACAUAUUAACCAUCUGUGUAUGAGCAUAGUCAACCUGAAUCACAAACAUCAAAAGUUUACUGCACAGAGUUUCUCUUAAACUUUGUCUGUUAAACUUGGGGAUGAUGCUCUUAUCGGUUUGACUAAUUAUCUGCUGUUGAGUCUGAAAUUUGUCAAUCUGAGUCUUAGUGACAGAAAUUUCAGCUUUUAAUCUGUUCAUGGGAUAUUUGACAGCUGACAAGCUGACUAUAUUGACAGAGGAGAGACAAAUGCUAACAAAGAAAGCAGCAACUGGUAUUGCAGUCAUCAAUGUAUCACCACAGCAUUUGGAUAUCUUAUUGGAGUCAUUUAGCUUUGGCUAGGUGACUUCUGCUUUCGCAGGACUCACACCUUCAUGACUCCACAGUGUUAAUCUCAGUGGUUAGCUGAGUAGUCAUGUUUAUUCACCUUCAAAGUGGAUGAAACCGAUUGAGGUGGAUAAUAAGAUCGUCGUUUCUGAGAGUGUGAUUUACUCUGAUUCUGCCAGUCAUUCACCCCCCUUUGGCGGUGUUGAUGGUUUUUCCUUUGUCUGGGAUAAAACCCACCGUGACGGGAGUCUGAAUAACAACAGUUGGUCUCAAAGUUUACCUGGCAUUGGUCUGUGUCAGACCUGGGCCUUGGUGUGUAACUUUGACCUUUGUGAGUUUGUUGAGGUCGAAAAGGUUUUGGAGGCCUGGUUAACCACUCAUUUGGAGGCUUAUCGGAGCCUGAAAAUACACAGUCUGAAGCUUCGUUCAGCUCCAUGGGCAGUGAUUUUGUCUCCCUAGCCAAGAGAGUAACGGGCUCUGCUUUCUUAGCCAAAGUUUGUCGUUGUUUGGCAAAACCUUUUACAGCAAGUUCACGAAGCUGUCGGCUAGUCGAAGUGUUUGGACAAGCUAAGACGCCAAGGUGAUGACUGGUGGUAGGGUGGAGGUUCUGGACGAACAGCGUUUUGAAGUUCAAGUCCUCCUCCAUUUCUGGUUCAUUUCGGAAACCAAAGUAAGCUUCGCGUAAGCGGUUGUAAUACUGUUGGGGAGAUUCUGAUCUCCCUUGUUUAAUAGACAGAGCAGCAGAGAGGCCUGUCUGGGUCAAAUAGUCAGAAAACUCUUCAAUUAAUGCUUGGCAGAGCAAGUCAUAAUUAUUUCUGACAUGAUAAGGCUGUCGUUCAAGGAAACUGCUAACCUCUCGACUUGACGUUGCCUUAAUAAGGUAGAUUUUGUCAUCAAUGGUUGCACCUGGAAAUUUCCUCAGGUAAAAGUCAAUGUCUUUCAAGUAGGUGCAGGUGUCAGUAGCACC
rnacentral:lncRNA from 1 species